AAAAAGUUGAUGCUGAUGAGGGUGAUAUCGUGCCUGCGUGUUUCUGUUUUCGCGCACUUUUGUGUGGUUGUCGAUGCUAACGUGAAGGACGAGUGGCGUCGUGCUUGAUCGAUCCAGCUUUUCUAUAAAAUUAACGUGUUUCUGAUGUUGUGCACAUUGAGUUCUUUUCAAAGCUGACGUGCCAGAUAAAUCCAGCUUUUCUAUAAAAUCACUGGUGAGUGACAUUACCAAACAUCGUAAAACAACGGCUCUUGAGGGAUUGCUACUUUUCCUGCUUGAGAAGUCAGCAAAUUUGCUCAAGAUAUGCCUGGAUACGAAUUCUGUGAACUGCUGCACCAAAGGUGUAAAGAUUGGAAUUCUGACUGUGGAGGAAGAUGAUGUUGCCGGUGUUACAUCGCAGCCCACUGUUAUCAACAUGGCCAUAAUCUUGGAGGAGGCCAUUGUGCUUGAGGACAUUAAAGAUCUUCCAUCUGCAUUUGCAUAUUUGUUUGGCCUCUUAUAUGCAUUUAACAUGGAAUAUCUGAAAGAAUUGAAGUACACUUUUGAAGUCAUCAUGGAUCUAGGUGGUACCUGCUCAGCUAGAGUG